GACGAACGCUGGCGGCGUGCCUAAUACAUGCAAGUCGAGCGAGCAAUUUUGACGGAAUACUUCGGUAGGAAGUCAGAAGCGCGAGCGGCGGAUGGGUGAGUAACACGUGGGCAACCUGCCCUUUAGCUUGGGAUACCACUUGGAAACAGGUGCUAAUACCAAAUAAGCAGCAAGAGCGCAUGCUCAAGCUGAGAAAGGCGGCUUUCGAGCUGUCACUAAAGGAUGGGCCCGCGGUGCAUUAGCUAGUUGGUAAGGUAAGGGCCUACCAAGGCGAUGAUGCAUAGCCGAGUUGAGAGACUGACCGGCCACAUUGGGACUGAGACACGGCCCAAACUCCUACGGGAGGCAGCAGUAGGGAAUCUUCCACAAUGGACGCAAGUCUGAUGGAGCAACGCCGCGUGAGUGAAGAAGGUUUUCGGAUCGUAAAGCUCUGUUGUUGGUGAAGAAGGACAAGGAAAGUAACUGAUCUUUGUUUGACGGUAAUCAACCAGAAAGUCACGGCUAACUACGUGCCAGCAGCCGCGGUAAUACGUAGGUGGCAAGCGUUGUCCGGAUUUAUUGGGCGUAAAGCGAACGCAGGCGGGAAGAUAAGUCAGCUGUGAAAGCCCCCAGCUUAACUGGGGAACUGCAGCUGAAACUAUGUUUCUUGAGUGCAGAAGAGGAGAGUGGAACUCCAUGUGUAACGGUGGAAUGCGUAGAUAUAUGGA
rnacentral:rRNA from 1 species